AGAAAUGCUGAAAGCAAUUAGAAAUCGAACAAUAAAUCAAAUAUUAUUGUGUUUUGUAUUAUUCCUUGAUGUUUUACCACUC
rnacentral:ribozyme from 1 species